GGUGAUAAUGAGUGCAUUAAGUGUAAAAGAUGAAAAGGGUAUGUUUUUAUUUGGACAAGUCGAUCUGGGCAAAGUUCUUAGAAUAUGUGGCCAAGAGGAUAGGUUACAAUAUGAUUGAGUUAGGUUAGAAAGAAACAAUCAAAGAUGUUGACAGGGCAAGGGCACAACUAUGGUUUUAGAUGUUUCCUUCUCUUUCUGAUGUGACCUGUCUCUAACUCAUUGCCAUGCCCC
rnacentral:lncRNA from 1 species